GAUGAACGCUAGCGAUAGGCUUAACACAUGCAAGUCGAGGGGUAACGUGUUGGAAGCUUGCUUCCGAUGACGCCGACCGGCGGAUGGGUGCGUAACGCGUAUGCAACUUGCCUCACAGUGGAGAAUAACCCGGAGAAAUCCGGACUAAUACUCCAUACACUCUUAAGCACGCCUGUACAUGAGAGGAAAGAUUUAUCGCUGUGAGAUAGGCAUGCGUCCUAUUAGGUAGUUGGUGAGGUAACGGCUCACCAAGCCGACGAUAGGUAGGGGUGCUGAGAGGCAGAUCCCCCAAAUUGGGACUGAGACACGGCCCAAACUCCUACGGGAGGCAGCAGUGAGGAAUAUUGGUCAAUGGAGGAAACUCUGAACCAGCCAAGUCGCGUGAAGGAAGAAUGUCCUAAGGAUUGUAAACUUCUUUAGCGAGCGAGUAAGGACUUCCACGUGAUGGGAGUUUGAAAGUAGCUCGAGAAUAAGUAUCGGCUAACUCCGUG
rnacentral:rRNA from 1 species